AUUGAACGCUGGCGGCAUGCCUUACACAUGCAAGUCGAACGGUAACAGGUCUUCGGAUGCUGACGAGUGGCGAACGGGUGCGUAAUACAUCGGAACGUGCCCGAUCGUGGGGGAUAACGAAGCGAAAGCUUUGCUAAUACCGCAUACGAUCUACGGAUGAAAGCGGGGGAUCUUCGGACCUCGCGCGGACGGAGCGGCCGAUGGCAGAUUAGGUAGUUGGUGGGAUAAAAGCUUACCAAGCCGACGAUCUGUAGCUGGUCUGAGAGGAUGAUCAGCCACACUGGGACUGAGACACGGCCCAGACUCCUACGGGAGGCAGCAGUGGGGAAUUUUGGACAAUGGGCGCAAGCCUGAUCCAGCCAUGCCGCGUGCAGGAUGAAGGCCUUCGGGUUGUAAACUGCUUUUGUACGGAACGAAAAGGUGCCUUCUAAUAAAGGGCGCUCAUGACGGUACCGUAAGAAUAAGCACCGGCUAACUACGUG
rnacentral:rRNA from 1 species